rnacentral:pre_miRNA from 1 species
UUCCCUUUGUCAUCCUUCGCCUAGGGCUCUGAGCAGGGCAGGGACAGCAAAGGGGUGC